rnacentral:lncRNA from 1 species
CCAGUGACAAAUCCAGGAAUAGAAGCCAAGUCUCCUAAGUUGCAGCUUAAUGCCAUCUAAUACUGUAAUCAACAAGAAAGUUUGCCUUCUGAUGUUACAAUGAGAUUGGUUAUUCAUACUUCCUGGCAGUGGUUAUAAGAGGAGGAUGACUGAGAAUUUGGUAGCCCCUCUCACCAGCCCGACAUUUGGGUCACCUCCACACAUGCCUCCUGCCUGCAGACACCUGGUGGGAUUGACGUCAUUUGAGGCCGAGGAGAGUGGUUAGGUGGCUCUGCUGACUCAAUGGGGUGAAGCCCUGAGGUCCCCAGCAAAACCCCAUCUCCAGCCCCGUACCCUGAAAAGGAGCAUGCUCUUAAUAUCUGUAAGGAGUUGCUCAAACAUCAGAACUGCUGAAGCCCAGUGGAUUUGUAUAACGGGUGAGCAAAAACUAGUGUUGAAGCCACUCUCCAUGUGGAAGUGUUAAUCGCUCCUUCUCCCUGCAGUGGGUGUCAGGGGACUUAAUAACACAUAGGUUCAUACCACAGCCCCACUUUCAG